rnacentral:rRNA from 1 species
GACGAACGCUGGCGGCGUGCCUAACACAUGCAAGUCGAGCGGAGAUAGACUGAUGGUAACUGAAGCUUAUCUUAGCGGCGGACGGGUGAGUAACACGUGGGCAACCUGCCUUGGAGUGGGGGAUAACACCGGGAAAUCGGUGCUAAUACCGCAUAACAUACACAUACUGCAUGGUGAGUGUAUCAAAGGAGCAAUCCGCUUUAAGAUGGGCCCGCGGCUGAUUAGCUAGUUGGUAAGGUAACGGCUUACCAAGGCGACGAUCAGUAGCCGACCUGAGAGGGUGACCGGCCACACUGGAACUGAGACACGGUCCAGACUCCUACGGGAGGCAGCAGUGGGGAAUAUUGCGCAAUGGGGGAAACCCUGACGCAGCAACGCCGCGUGGAGGAAGAAGGUCUUCGGAUUGUAAACUCCUGUCUUCUGGGACGAAGUAUGACGGUACCAGAGGAGGAAGCCACGGCUAACUACGUG